rnacentral:rRNA from 1 species
GGUUUAAUUCGAUGAUACGCGAGGAACCUUACCCGGGCUUGAAUUGCAGAGGAAGGAUUUGGAGACAAUGACGCCCUUCGGGUCGUCUGUGAAGGUGCUGCAUGGUUGUCGUCAGCUCGUGCCGUGAGGUGUCGGCUUAAGUGCCAUAACGAGCGCAACCCCUCUCCUUAGUUGCCAUCAGGUAAAGCUGGGCACUCUGGGGACACUGCCACCGUAAGGUGUGA